AUACGGAGGGUGCAAGCGUUGUUCGGAAUCACUGGGCGUAAAGGGCGCGCAGGCGGUUUGGUAAGUCAGAUGUGAAAGCCCACGGCUCAACCGUGGAAGUGCAUUUGAAACUGCCAGACUUGAGUACCAGAGGGGAAAGUGGAAUUCCCGGUGUAGAGGUGAAAUUCGUAGAUAUCGGGAGGAAUACCGGUGGCGAAGGCGACUUUCUGGCUGGAUACUGACGCCGAGGCGCGAAAGCGAGGGGAGCAAACAGGAUUAGAUACCCUAGUAGUCC
rnacentral:rRNA from 1 species